rnacentral:rRNA from 1 species
GAAAACUUUAAACGGCCGCGGUAUCCUAACCGUGCAAAGGUAGCGUAAUAACUUGUCUUUUAAAUAAAGACUAGCAUGAAUGGCUAAAUGAGGACCUAACUGUCUUCUAAGACCAAUCAAUGAACCUGAUCUUUCAGUACAAAAGCUGAAAUCACAACAUAAGACGAGAAGACCCUGCGGAGCUUUAAAAACCCCACUUUUUAAGUUGGGGCGACUACGGAAAUAAAAAAAACCUCCACGACAGGACUGACAAUCCAAAAAAGGAAUCACACACCAACUAAGCUGACCAACGAACCAAGUUACCCCAGGGGUAACAGCGCCAUCCUCUUCAAGAGCCCCUAUCGCCAAGAGGGUUUACGACCUCGAUGUUGGAUCAGGACCCCCUAGUGGCGCAGCCGCUACUAAAGGCUCG